rnacentral:rRNA from 1 species
GACGAACGCUGGCGGCGUGCUUAACACAUGCCAGUCGAACGGAAAGGCCCUGCUUUUGUGGGGUGCUCGAGUGGCGAACGGGUGAGUAACACGUGAGUAACCUGCCCUUGACUUUGGGGUAACUUCAGGAAACUGGGGCUAAUACCCGAUAGGAGCUCCUGCUGCAUGGUGGGGGUUGGAAAGUUUCGGCGGUUGGGGAUGGACUCGCGGCUUAUCAGCUUGUUGGUGGGGUAGUGGCUUACCAAGGCUUUGACGGGUAGCCGGCCUGAGAGGGUGACCGGCCACAUUGGGACUGAGAUACGGCCCAGACUCCUACGUGAGGCAGUAGGGGGGAAUAUUGCACAAUGGGCGGAAGCCUGAUGCAGCAACGCCGCGUGCGGGAUGACGGCCUUCGGGUUGUAAACCGCUUUCGCCUGUGACGAAGCGUGAGUGACGGUAAUGGGUAAAGAAGCACCGGCUAACUACGUG